rnacentral:rRNA from 1 species
AUGAAGAGUAGCGAACGGGUGAGUAACGCGUGGGUAACCUACCUCUUAGCGGGGGACAACUAUUGGAAACGAUAGCUAAUACCGCAUAACAAUAUUAAACACAUGUUUAACAUUUGAAAGUACCAAUUGGUACACUAGGAGAUGGACCCGCGUUGUAUUAGCUAGUUGGUAGUGUAAUGGACUACCAAGGCGAUGAUACAUAGCCGACCUGAGAGGGUGAUCGGCCACAUUGGGACUGAGACACGGCCCAAACUCCUACGGGAGGCAGCAGUAGGGAAUCUUCGGCAAUGGACGAAAGUCUGACCGAGCAACGCCGCGUGAGUGAAGAAGGUUUUCGGAUCGUAAAACUCUGUUGUUAGAGAAGAACGUUGUGUAGAGUGGAAAAUUACACAAGUGACGGUAUCUAACCAGAAAGGGACGGCUAACAACGUGCCAGCAGCCGCGGUAAUACGUAGGUCCCGAGCGUUGUCCGGAUUUAUUGGGCGUAAAGCGAGCGCAGGUGGUUUAAUAAGUCUGAUGUAAAAGGCAGUGGCUCAACCAUUGUGUGCAUUGGAAACUGUUAGACUUGAGUGCAGUAGAGGAGAGUGGAAUUCCAUGUGUAGCGGUGAAAUGCGUAGAUAUAUGGAGGAACACCGGUGGCGAAAGCGGCUCUCUGGACUGUAACUGACACUGAGGCUCGAAAGCGUGGGUAGCAAACAGGAUUAGAUACCCUGGUAGUCCACGCCGUAAACGAUGAGUGCUAGUUGUUUGGGGCUAUCCAGCCCUAAGUGACGCAGCAAACGCAU